rnacentral:rRNA from 1 species
UACGGGGGGCAAGCGUUGUUCGGAAUUACUGGGCGUAAAGGGCUCGUAGGCGGCCAACUAAGUCAGACGUGAAAUCCCUCGGCUUAACCGGGAACUGCGUCUGAUACUGGAUGGCUAGAGGUUGGGAGAGGGAUGCGGAAUUCCAGGUGUAGCGGUGAAAUGCGUAGAUAUCUGGAGGAACACCGGUGGCGAAGGCGGCAUCCUGGACCGACACUGACGCUGAGGAGCGAAAGCCAGGGAGCAACGGG